AGUGAACGCUGGCGGUAGGCCUAACACAUGCAAGUCGAACGGCAGCACAGUAAGAGCUUGCUCUUACGGGUGGCGAGUGGCGGACGGGUGAGGAAUACAUCGGAAUCUACUUUUUCGUGGGGGAUAACGUAGGGAAACUUGCGCUAAUACCGCAUACGACCUACGGGUGAAAGCAGGGGAUCUUCGGACCUUGCGCGAUUGAAUGAGCCGAUGUCGGAUUAGCUAGUUGGCGGGGUAAAGGCCCACCAAGGCGACGAUCCGUAGCUGGUCUGAGAGGAUGAUCAGCCACACUGGAACUGAGACACGGUCCAGACUCCUACGGGAGGCAGCAGUGGGGAAUAUUGGACAAUGGGCGCAAGCCUGAUCCAGCCAUACCGCGUGGGUGAAGAAGGCCUUCGGGUUGUAAAGCCCUUUUGUUGGGAAAGAGAAGCAGCAGGUUAAUACCCCGCUGUUCUGACGGUACCCAAAGAAUAAGCACCGGCUAACUUCGUG
rnacentral:rRNA from 1 species